AGUAAGCCCCGCGGUCUGUCUAUCUUUUUCUCGUAACCCCUAAUAUAUAUAUAAAAUGCCAAACACCAAACCAAUGUAAAAAGUAAAGCAGCCAACUUUCCGGUAGCCAUAGAAAAUAAACCCUCGCAAUCUCUUUCUCUCCUAUCUCCUACACAUUCUCAUCCCAUACCUCUCUAACCACACAACUCUUAUUUUCCAUAGAUAAUCUCGUGUCCUAACUCUCACUAUCCAAAAUCUUUAUAUCUUUUCCCUUUUAGAUUUUGUCCCUCUUUUUCUGUCCUUAUCUCCUCCAACCUUCAGUCCUUCAUUCCUUUUCUCCACACCGCAUAAGCCUAAUCUUCCUUUUCUUUAUUCAUUCCUUUUAAAAUGUUAUAGCCCCUAGUCCAAAC
rnacentral:lncRNA from 1 species